CGGUUCCGAGCAGCCGUAGUGAAGCUAUACAAGCAGUAAGUCAAGAAUUCAGAUUGCCAUUUACAGGCUUUGUACUUAUUCGGGACGUGGCCAAGCACUGAUACGUUAUGGUGAAAAAAGAAGGCUGUGUGAGGUUAUUCGAUCAGUGUAUUCCCACGAAAGUGAUUGCGAAUAAUAUACAAACGGCAUGCAGCGUAUGGCCCAUGAAAGAGCGGAGUUACUGAAAAUCAGCCUGCGACAUCAAAGAAAGAAACUGCAACAAUGUUGAUUGCCGUUAGUGAUUACAUAGAUCGAAAGUUCCUGUCAAUAAAUCUUGGAAGACAUCAGUGGGUAGCAGAACUGAUGAAUUUAUUGCAUAUAAACAACAGAAUUGAACUACUGCAUAAAUGAUCGAGGUUUGCGAGUAUCCGCAUUAAGUGACCCCGGUAAUACAAUGUUGGAAAACUAAAUGCAGAAGCUGAACAGGCCGUAAUUUUGUAGAAGACUAGAGAACAGGGGCACACUACAUUGUAGCACUAUCGACCACAUUAAGUGAUGAUCCAAAUAAUGUAACCCAAUCAAUCGAUAUCUGACAAGAAACUAAAAAUUAAACCACAUGCUAGGCAGUGAAUAGAACUGAAAGUGUGAAAAGUGUGUCCAACCACCAUACAACCUGAGAUGCUACAAGAAGUACUACACAUACAUGCAAAGUGCGGAGCAACCCGGAGGAGAGUUAAGCAGAGACAUCCGAGUAACUUCUCCAUUACUCAGCAACAUUGGUGAGUUUGCAUGUGUUAGGUUACGGGUAUUUCCCUGGGACUCCUCCAUCCCGUGGCGUGGCGGUAACACUGUUACACGAAUCUGCGAUUUCUUAGAUGCAUGGAUAGGCUCAUUCAUGAUCGCAACGAUGCUUGACUUCAAGUUGAAUCGUUUUUUCUUUUUGUGCAGUAGACCUAUUCUACCAUAGUGACUCAAUGUUAGAAAUUUUGCACGUUGCUGAAAGUGGAAUGAGCAUCGCGGCAGGUUACCAUCACUUACUCGGUGUUCGCGAAAACAUGUAUGUUUAGCUACAAAUAUAAGUACCUACCUGUGUUUGAAUUUUCAAAUGACGUCGUUUAAGUGGUGGAUACACCUGAGGCUUAAACAUAUUCCAAUGAUUGUUUAAUCAAUAACAUUUCAAAGUCUGAAAGAACGUAACAUAUUCAACUUGCAUGAUAUAUUUUGAAUCAUUUUCAAUUUUUUAAUACUCUGCAACUGUCGUACAACCACAGGCUUAGCCCGCUUAGAAAAAUGCUGAUUAGCAUACAGGAUGUCUUUAAUCCGUCUUACAAAAGGUUGAUGUACCGGUAGUCAGCCAGCAAUCACUAAAAUAGUACUUUCGCUGACUUACGGUACAAAAACAUUUUUCUCCCGACAGAUAACUAAUGAAAAAGUAAGUCACAGUGACCACGGCGCAAAUGAGGAAGAAUGAUGUGUGUUGGAAAGAAUGGAGAAUCGUUUAGAGCGAAUAUAGGUAAUCGGGUAGGUAGGUGGUCGUUUUGAUAUCCGUCGUGGGGUUUAAUGUAGAUGUGCGU
rnacentral:lncRNA from 1 species